rfam:Eubacterium sp. CAG:156 genomic scaffold, scf121
UAAUGCCAGGAUCAAAUGGUUUAAGCCCACAUGAGCUUACUCAUAAGUGGGUAAAAGACCUUGAGACCCGCCCCAAUAUGAGCAAAAAAGUGGGAUAAUUCCCACGAUAUGCGAAUAUUGGGUAGGAUUGUGGGAGUGCGUAGCACUAAACAAUCCGUAGGCUUCA